UACGUAGGGGGGCAAGCGUUGUCCGGAAUCAUUGGGCGUAAAGAGCGUGUAGGCGGCCCGAUAAGUCCGCCGUGAAAGUCCAGGGCUCAACCCUGGAAUGCCGGUGGAUACUGUCGGGCUAGAGUCCGGAAGGGGCGAGUGGAAUUCCUGGUGUAGCGGUGAAAUGCGCAGAUAUCAGGAGGAACACCGAUGGCGAAGGCAGCUCGCUGGGACGGUACUGACGCUGAGACGCGAAAGCGUGGGGAGCAAACAGG
rnacentral:rRNA from 1 species